rnacentral:rRNA from 1 species
CGGGAGGCCUACCCAUGCAGUCGAGCGGAACGACUUAACUGAACCUUCGGGGAACGUUAAGGGCGUCGAGCGGCGGACGGGUGAGUAAUGCCUAGGAAAUUGCCCUGAUGUGGGGGAUAACCAUUGGAAACGAUGGCUAAUACCGCAUGAUGCCUACGGGCCAAAGAGGGGGACCUUCGGGCCUCUCGCGUCAGGAUAUGCCUAGGUGGGAUUAGCUAGUUGGUGAGGUAAUGGCUCACCAAGGCGACGAUCCCUAGCUGGUCUGAGAGGAUGAUCAGCCACACUGGAACUGAGACACGGUCCAGACUCCUACGGGAGGCAGCAGUGGGGAAUAUUGCACAAUGGGCGCAAGCCUGAUGCAGCCAUGCCGCGUGUGUGAAGAAGGCCUUCGGGUUGUAAAGCACUUUCAGUCGUGAGGAAGGUGGUGUAGUUAAUAGCUGCAUUACUUGACGUUAGCGACAGAAGAAGCACCGGCUAACUCCGUGCCAGCAGCCGCGGUAAUACGGAGGGUGCGAGCGUUAAUCGGAAUUACUGGGCGUAAAGCGCAUGCAGGUGGUUUGUUAAGUCAGAUGUGAAAGCCCGGGGCUCAACCUCGGAAUAGCAUUUGAAACUGGCAGACUAGAGUACUGUAGAGGGGGGUAGAAUUUCAGGUGUAGCGGUGAAAUGCGUAGAGAUCUGAAGGAAUACCGGUGGCGAAGGCGGCCCCCUGGACAGAUACUGACACUCAGAUGCGAAAGCGUGGGGAGCAAACAGGAUUAGAUACCCUGGUAGUCCACGCCGUAAACGAUGUCUACUUGGAGGUUGUGGCCUUGAGCCGUGGCUUUCGGAGCUAACGCGUUAAGUAGACCGCCUGGGGAGUACGGUCGCAAGAUUAAAACUCAAAUGAAUUGACGGGGGCCCGCACAAGCGGUGGAGCAUGUGGUUUAAUUCGAUGCAACGCGAAGAACCUUACCUACUCUUGACAUCCAGAGAACUUUUCUAGAGAUGGAUUGGUUGCCUUCGGGAACUCUGAGACAGGUGCUGCAUGGCUGUCGUCAGCUCGUGUUGUGAAAUGUUGGGUUAAGUCCCGCACGAGCGCAACCCCUUAUCCUUUGGUUUGCCAG